AUUGAACGCUGGCGGAAUGCUUUACACAUGCAAGUCGAACGGCAGCACGGACUUCGGUCUGGUGGCGAGUGGCGGACGGGUGAGUAAUGUAUCGGAACGUGCCCAGUCGUGGGGGAUAACGUAGUGAAAAUUACGCUAAUACCGCAUACGAUCUAUGGAUGAAAGCGGGGGAUCGCAAGACCUCGCGCGACUGGAGCGGCCGAUAUCAGAUUAGGUAGUUGGUGGGGUAAAGGCCCACCAAGCCAACGAUCUGUAGCUGGUCUGAAAGGAAGACCAGCCACACUGGAACUGAGACACGGUCCAGACUCCUACGGGAGGCAGCAGUGGGGAAUUUUGGACAAUGGGCGAAAGCCUGAUCCAGCCAUUCCGCGUGCAGGAUGAAGGCCCUCGGGUUGUAAACUGCUUUUGUACAGAACGAAAAGGUUUCUACUAAUACUAGGAGCUCAUGACGGUACUGUAAGAAUAAGCACCGGCUAACUACGUGCCAGCCGCCGCCGUAA
rnacentral:rRNA from 1 species